AUUGAACGCUGGCGGCAGGCUUAACACAUGCAAGUCGAGCGGGGGAGGUUGCUUCGGUAACUGACCUAGCGGCGGACGGGUGAGUAAUGCUUAGGAAUCUGCCUAUUAGUGGGGGACAACAUCUCGAAAGGGAUGCUAAUACCGCAUACGUCCUACGGGAGAAAGCAGGGGACCUUCGGGCCUUGCGCUAAUAGAUGAGCCUAAGUCGGAUUAGCUAGUUGGUGGGGUAAAGGCCUACCAAGGCGACGAUCUGUAGCGGGUCUGAGAGGAUGAUCCGCCACACUGGGACUGAGACACGGCCCAGACUCCUACGGGAGGCAGCAGUGGGGAAUAUUGGGCAAUGGGGGGAACCCUGAUCCAGCCAUGCCGCGUGUGUGAAGAAGGCCUUUUGGUUGUAAAGCACUUUAAGCGAGGAGGAGGCUACUGGUAUUAAUACUACCGGAUAGUGGACGUUACUCGCAGAAUAAGCACCGGCUAACUCUGUGCCAGCAGCCGCCGUAAGAC
rnacentral:rRNA from 1 species